GAUCGACAAAAUGUAUGCAAUCAUCCAUAUUUCAGCCAGCUUCAUGUAGAGGAGGUUGAUAACUUAAUACCAAAGCACUAUCUACCAUCAAUUAUAAGGCUUUCUGGGAAGCUUGAGAUGUUAGAUCGAUUAUUUCCCAAGCUAAAAGCAACAAACAUACGGUAAUCCUUGAUACUCAAUCUAUUCACAUGUGUUGAUGCGUGUCUGCAUGUGUGCUUCUGUUUUCUACU